CAAUAGCGUAUAUUAAAGUUGUUGCGGUUAAAAAGCUCGUAGUUGGAUUUCUGCGAGGGGCAGCCGGUCCGCUCUAUGAGCGUGUAUCUGGAUUGACCUUUGCAUCCUCUCGAAAAACGUUUCUGCGCUUGAUUGCGUGGUGCGGGGUUCGGGACUUUUACUUUGAGGAAAUUAGAGUGUUCACGGCAGGCGAUCGCCUUGAAUAUAUUAGCAUGGAAUAAUAAUAUAGGAUCUUGGUUCUAUUUUGUUGGUUUCUAGGACUAAGAUAAUGAUUAAUAGGGACAAUUGGGGGCAUUCGUAUUAACACGUCAGAGGUGGAAUUCUUGGAUUGUGUUACGACGAACUACUGCGAAAGCAUUUGCCAAGGAUGUUUUCAUUGA
rnacentral:rRNA from 1 species